rnacentral:rRNA from 1 species
CUAUGGGCGGCAGCAGUGAGGAAUAUUGCACAAUGGGGGGAACCCUGAUGCAGCAACGCCGCGUGGAGGAUGACGCAUUUCGGUGUGUAAACUCCUUUUAUAUGGCAAGAAAAUGACGGUAGCAUAUGAAUAAGCACCGGCUAACUCCGUGCCAGCAGCCGCGGUAAUACGGAGGGUGCAAGCGUUACUCGGAAUCACUGGGCGUAAAGGACGCGUAGGCGGGUUGGAAAGUCAGGUGUGAAAUCCUACAGCUUAACUGUAGAACUGCACUUGAAACUUCUAAUCUAGAGUAUGGGAGGGGGAGAUGGAAUUAGUGGUGUAGGGGUAAAAUCCGUAGAUAUCACUAGGAAUACCUAAAGCGAAGGCGAUCUCCUGGAACAUUACUGACGCUAAGGCGUGAAAGCGUGGGGAGCAAACAGGAUUAGAUACCCUUGUAGUC